AUUGAACGCUGGCGGCAGGCUUAACACAUGCAAGUCGAGCGAGAGGCGGACGGGUGAGUAAUGUCUGGGAAACUGCCUGAUGGAGGGGGAUAACUACUGGACACGGUAGCUAAUACCGCAUACCAUCAGAUGUGCCCAGAUGGGAUUAGCUAGUAGGUGGGGUAAUGGAUCACCUAGGCGACGAUCCCUAGCUGGUCUGAGAGGAUGAAAGGCCACACUGGAACUGGGACACGGUCCAGACUCCUACGUGAGGCAGCAGUGGGGAAUAUGGCACAAUGGGCGCAAGCCUGAUGCAGCCAUGCCGGGGGUGUGAAGAAGGCCUUCGGGUUGUAAAGCACUUUCAGCGAGGAGGCGUUACUCGCAGAAGAAGCAACGGCUAACGCCGUGCCAGCAGCCGCGGUAAUUC
rnacentral:rRNA from 1 species